rnacentral:rRNA from 1 species
UACGAAGGGUGCAAACGUUGCUCGGAAUUAUUGGGCGUAAAGCGCACGUAGGCGGCUUAGCAAGUCGGAUGUGAAAUCCCUCGGCUCAACCAAGGAAGUGCAUCCGAAACUGCUGAGCUUGAGUACUUAAGAGGAUCGCGGAAUUCCCGGUGUAGAGGUGAAAUGCGUAGAUAUCUGGAGGAACACCGGUGGCGAAGGCGGCAUCCUGGACCGACACUGACGCUGAGGAGCGAAAGCCAGGGGAGCAAACGGG